rnacentral:rRNA from 1 species
UCCAGCUCCAAUAGCGUAUAUUAAAGUUGUUGCAGUUAAAAAGCUCGUAGUUGAACUUCAGACCUGGCCGGGUGGUCUGCCUCACGGUAUGUACUGUCUGGCUGGGUCUUACCUCUUGGUGAGCCGGCAUGCCCUUUACUGGGUGUGUCGGGGAACCAGGACUUUUACCUUGAGAAAAUUAGAGUGUUCAAAGCAGGCCUAUGCCUGAAUACAUUAGCAUGGAAUAAUAAAAUAGGACGUGCGGUUCUAUUUUGUUGGUUUCUACAGUCGCCGUAAUGAUUAAUAGGGAUAGUUGGGGGCAUUAGUAUUCAGUUGCUAGAGGUGAAAUUCUUGGAUUUACUGAAGACUAACUACUGCGAAAGCAUUUGCCACGGAUGUUUUCAUUAAUCAAGAACGAAGGUUAGGGGAUCCAAAACGAUCAGA